UACGGAGGAUGCAAGCGUUAUCCGGAUUUAUUGGGUUUAAAGGGUGCGUAGGCGGGCUAUUAAGUCAGUGGUGAAAUCCUGCAGCUUAACUGCAGAACUGCCGUUGAUACUGAUAGUCUUGAGUUUGGUUAAGGUAGGCGGAAUGUGUAAUGUAGCGGUGAAAUGCUUAGAUAUUACACAGAACACCAAUUGCGUAGGCAGCUUACUGAGCCGACACUGACGCUGAGGCACGAAAGCGUGGGGAUCAAACAGGAUUA
rnacentral:rRNA from 1 species